UAAUUUGUGGCCCAAUUAAACUACUCACCGUCUUUCCGCCUUCAUCAUCUUCAAAAGCCUACCUCAUGUUGUUCCGAAUCUCCACCAUAACGUCCCUUCUCCACCAUCAAAGCCCUUAAUUGCUAUAAAUUUCCUAUGUAAACUUACCUAUUCAAAUCCUCAAGCCUAUACACGCAAUUCACAACUCCACCUCUCUCUCUCUCUCUCUCCUUCAUAUUAAGUUAAUCAGCGGAAGCAUCUCUAACGACGUCCGAAUAUUGAGAGAAUGGACGGAUCAAUGCUUCAGCGAGUCUUGAUUCACCUACAACUUAGAGAUCAAGCAGUUACAGUUACAUAGUACAACCAGUCUUCACAUGUUCUACUAUGCUAUUAGCUGAUUGAUCUAUAUUUGUUAAUCGUAUGGUUUAUUUGGGUAUAGUUGCGUGUUGUUUUGAUUGCCUAUUUGUUUGAUUAGAAAAUGAUUUCAAGACAUUGUUAUUGAAAAUUUUGUUCAAUAAACUAACUUUCAGUCCUCGCAGUUAGGAUGCUUGGAAUCCUUCUCAACUAGUUGGCCUCAGGUAUUACUAUUAACGGCAUCAGUAACGAUCAGGUUCCCUCAGAAAUGGGGAUUCGAGAAACUGGCGUAUAUAAAUGUGAAGAAAGUACGACGACUGGAUAGGAAAUACACCGUCUAACUGCGGACGUAUUUACAACGGCGGUUCACAUGUCGGAGAGUCUGCAAGGGAAGACAUACCUCAUAGCAAAUGGACUUUUUGGAGACGUGUAUACCAAGCGAGGUCUAGAUUCACAUCACAGGAGCCUGCUUCAGUCAUCAUAUCUAAGUUGGAGGAAGUGGCACGACGGUUGAAACUGAGGAUAAGAAAGAGAAAAGCAGAUUUGUUCAAACUGGAACCAGUGGCGGAACCAACAAUUAUUUUAGUAUGGGGCACUUAAUGAAAAUCUUAUUAAAAACAA